AUUGAACGCUGGCGGCAGGCCUAAUACAUGCAAGUCGAACGGUAACAUAAAAGAAGCUUGCUUCUUUUGAUGACGAGUGGCGGACGGGUGAGUAAUAUUUGGGAAACUACCUGAUAGAGGGGGACAACAGUUGGAAACGACUGCUAAUACCGCAUAAAGCCUAAGGGUGAAAGCAGCAAUGCGCUAUCAGAUGUGCCCAAACGGGAUUAGCUAGUAGGUGAGGUAAAGGCUCACCUAGGCGACGAUCUCUAGCUGGUCUGAGAGGAUGAUCAGCCACAUUGGGACUGAGACACGGCCCAGACUCCUACGGGAGGCAGCAGUAGGGAAUAUUGCACAAUGGAGGAAACUCUGAUGCAGCCAUGCCCGCGUGUGUGAAGAAGGCCUUCGGGUUGUAAAGCACUUUCGGAGGGAGGAAAAGAUGACGUUACCCUCAGAAGAAGCACCGGCUAACUCCGUGCCAGCAGCC
rnacentral:rRNA from 1 species